rnacentral:rRNA from 1 species
UACAGAGGGUGCUAGCGUUGUUCGGAAUCAUUGGGCGUAAAGGGCGUGUAGGCGGUUUGUUAAGUCAUGUGUGAAAUCCCUCGGCUCAACCGGGGAACUGCGUCCGAUACUGGUGGGCUCGAAUCCGGGAGAGGGAUGUGGAAUUCCAGGUGUAGCGGUGAAAUGCGUAGAUAUCUGGAGGAACACCGGUGGCGAAGGCGGCAUCCUGGACCGGUAUUGACGCUGAGGCGCGAAAGCUAGGGGAGCAAACGGG